rnacentral:rRNA from 1 species
UGAACGCUGGCGGCGUGCCUCAUACAUGCAAGUCGAGCGACCAGAUGAGGAGCUUGCUCCUCUGACGUUAGCGGCGGACGGGUGAGUAACACGUGGAUAACCUACCUAUAAGACUGGGAUAACUUCGGGAAACCGGAGCUAAUACCGGAUAAUAUAUUGAACCGCAUGGUUCAAUAGUGAAAGACGGUUUUGCUGUCACUUAUAGAUGGAUCCGCGCCGCAUUAGCUAGUUGGUAAGGUAACGGCUUACCAAGGCAACGAUGCGUAGCCGACCUGAGAGGGUGAUCGGCCACACUGGAACUGAGACACGGUCCAGACUCCUACGGGAGGCAGCAGUAGGGAAUCUUCCGCAAUGGGCGAAAGCCUGACGGAGCAACGCCGCGUGAGUGAUGAAGGUCUUCGGAUCGUAAAACUCUGUUAUUAGGGAAGAACAAAUGUGUAAGUAACUAUGCACGUCUUGACGGUACCUAAUCAGAAAGCCACGGCUAACUACGUG